rnacentral:rRNA from 1 species
UAACACGUAUGCAACCUGCCCUCCUCAGGGGGACAACCUUCCGAAAGGGAGGCUAAUCCCGCGUAUAUCGGUUUCGGGCAUCCGAGAUCGAGGAAAGAUUCAUCGGAAGAGGAUGGGCAUGCGGCGCAUUAGCUUGACGGCGGGGUAACGGCCCACCGUGGCGACGAUGCGUAGGGGUUCUGAGAGGAAGGUCCCCCACACUGGUACUGAGACACGGACCAGACUCCUACGGGAGGCAGCAGUGAGGAAUAUUGGUCAAUGGGAGAGAUCCUGAACCAGCCAAGCCGCGUGAGGGAAGACGGCCCUAUGGGUUGUAAACCUCUUUUGUCGGAGAACAAAACCCGGGACGUGUCCCGGACUGCGUGUAUCCGAAGAAAAAGCAUCGGCUAACUCCGUGCCAGCAGCCGCGGUAAUACGGAGGAUGCGAGCGUUAUCCGGAUUUAUUGGGUUUAAAGGGUGCGUAGGCGGUCCGUUAAGUCAGCGGUAAAAUUGCGGGGCUCAACCCCGUCGAGCCGUUGAAACUGGCAGACUUGAGUUGGCGAGAAGUACGCGGAAUGCGCGGUGUAGCGGUGAAAUGCAUAGAUAUCGCGCAGAACUCCGAUUGCGAAGGCAGCGUACCGGCGCCAGACUGACGCUGAGGCACGAAAGCGUGGGGAUCGAACAGGAUUAGAUACCCUGGUAGUCCACGCAGUAAACGAUGAAUGCUGGUUGU